UACGAGGGGGGCAAGCGUUGUUCGGAAUUAUUGGGCGUAAAGGGUGCGUAGGCGGUUUGAUAAGUCAUCUGUGAAAUCUCUGGGCUCAACCCAGAGUCUGCAGGCGAAACUGUCGGGCUUGAGAGUGGGAGAGGUGAGUGGAAUUUCCGGUGUAGCGGUGAAAUGCGUAGAUAUCGGAAGGAACACCUGUGGCGAAAGCGGCUCACUGGACCAUUUCUGACGCUGAUGCACGAAAGCUAGGGGAG
rnacentral:rRNA from 1 species